rnacentral:rRNA from 1 species
UACGAAGGGGGCUAGCGUUGCUCGGAAUCACUGGGCGUAAAGCGCACGUAGGCGGAUUGCUAAGUCAGGGGUGAAAUCCUGGAGCUCAACUCCAGAACUGCCUUUGAUACUGGCGACCUUGAGUCCGGGAGAGGUGAGUGGAACUGCGAGUGUAGAGGUGAAAUUCGUAGAUAUUCGCAAGAACACCAGUGGCGAAGGCGGCUCACUGGCCCGAUACUGACGCU